rnacentral:rRNA from 1 species
CCCUUAGAUGUUCUGGGCCGCACGCGCGCUACACUGAUGCAUUCAACGAGUCUAAAACCUGGUCUGAUAGGGCUGGGUAAUCUUUUGAAUGUGCAUCGUGAUUGGGAUAGAUGAUUGCAAUUCUUCAUCUUCAACGAGGAAUGCCUAGUAAACGCAAGUCAUCAGCUUGCAUUGAUUACGUCCCUGCCCUUUGUACACACCGCCCGUUGCUCCUACCGAUUGAAUGUUCCGAUGAAUACCAUGGACUGAGAGUAUGAAUGGGUUCGCCUAUUUCUGCUUCUCGGGAAGUGGAGUAAAUCUUAACAUUUAGAGGAAGGAGAAGUCGUAACA